rnacentral:rRNA from 1 species
UACGAAGGGGGCUAGCGUUGUUCGGAAUCACUGGGCGUAAAGGGCGCGUAGGCGGCCGAUCAAGUCGGGGGUGAAAGCCUGUGGCUCAACCACAGAAUUGCCUUCGAUACUGUUUGGCUUGAGACCGGAAGAGGUAAGUGGAACUGCGAGUGUAGAGGUGAAAUUCGUAGAUAUUCGUAAGAACACCAGUGGCGAAGGCGGCUUACUGGUCCGGUUCUGACGCUGAGGCGCGAAAGCGUGGGGAGCAAACAGG